CGCGAUACAACAUCAUGCUUUCUAGAGGUGAAUCGUGAGUACCCAGACGAUAGCAGGAAGAUGCACAACUGCAACUGGUUUUUCUGAUAACUUGCAAACCUCAUUUCAAGCAGCUCUAAUACUUCACCUAGUAUUUUUUGUCCUACAGAAGAAAUAAACGUGUGUUCUUGUGAGUAUCAGGACCCAACAAUUCAAAAGAAAGGUAGGAACACCUAUAAAUAACAAGACUAGAAUGGUCAAGAACGAACAAUGAGAAAGUGAGGAUGAACAUAAGAGGCAAGUAAGAUAAAAUAAUUACUUUACUUGUACUAAUAAACAUUAGUAUGUGACAGAAAAAAGUUUUUUAAAAAAAAAAAAAAGAGAGCAAGAAGUUUUUAGAAAGGAUAUCAUGGGCAUACCAGAUGAAGUGAUCAUGAAUCCAAAUGUUGAGGGUUAAAGCAAUCCUAAGUCCGUCCGCGCCUUUGCACAGACAUGUAGAUGCAUACUCUCCAUUAGCAAAGUUUGUCUCAAGGCAGAUGAUGGUACAGAGAUGGACACUACUUUAUAUCGACCCUACACGAUAUAGGUGAGGAUGAGGGAUAAGCACUAGAUUUGGUCAGUUCACCAAGCAGUGAUAGACUACAUCAAUUCCUUUGGACCCUUUAUCUCUGUGGAAGAGAUGAGAAAUGGGGAACAAAGACGAACAGCUUUCAUGAUUGUGAAUAAGCCGAACAGGCAUAGACUGCAAGUUGAGGAUGAACAUUAAUAUUACAUUAAGAAAAGAGAGUCUAUGGAAGAGUCAUAAUAGUCAAGUAAGAUGAAGAGUAUGAUUCAUAACAAG
rnacentral:lncRNA from 1 species